rnacentral:rRNA from 1 species
GAAUUUUAUAUAUUUAAAUCUAUAUAGAGUUUAAGAUAUAGUAGGACGUAGAUAUAAAUAUAUUUUAUUGGGAGGAUAGUUAAAUAUAAAUAACUUUAAUUAAGAAAUAAUAUAAAUAAGUGAAUUUAAGAUUGAUUAAUAAGUUAAUAAAGAAUUAAUUACCUUAGGGAUAACAGCGUAAUAUUUUUGGAGAGUUCAUAUUAAUAAAAAUGUUUGC